UGGGGAAUUUUGGACAAUGGGCGAAAGCCUGAUCCAGCAAUGCCGCGUGUGUGAAGAAGGCCUUCGGGUUGUAAAGCACUUUUGUCCGGAAAGAAAUCCUUGGCUCUAAUACAGUCGGGGGAUGACGGUACCGGAAGAAUAAGCACCGGCUAACUACGUGCCAGCAGCCGCGGUAAUACGUAGGGUGCAAGCGUUAAUCGGAAUUACUGGGCGUAAAGCGUGCGCAGGCGGUUUGCUAAGACCGAUGUGAAAUCCCCGGGCUCAACCUGGGAACUGCAUUGGUGACUGGCAGGCUAGAGUAUGGCAGAGGGGGGUAGAAUUCCACGUGUAGCAGUGAAAUGCGUAGAGAUGUGGAGGAAUACCGAUGGCGAAGGCAGCCCCCUGGGCCAAUACUGACGCUCAUGCACGAAAGCGUGGGGAGCAAACAGGAUUAGAUACCCUGGUAGCCCACGCCCUAAAACGAUGUCAACUAGUUGUUGGGGAUUCAUUUCCUUAGUAACGUAGCUAACGCGUGAAGUUGACCGCCUGGGGAGUACGGUCGCAAGAUUAAAACUUAAAUGAAUUGACGGGGUCAUAGCUGUUUCCU
rnacentral:rRNA from 1 species